rnacentral:lncRNA from 1 species
UGACUUUAGAAAAUCAUUAUAAAUUGUACAGAAAGAAUUAUAGGUCAUAAUUUAUAUGUGUAGAUUUCUUAGUGAGUCUAUUUUCAAAAGAAAUAGACUAUAACCUUAUAUGAAUUCUGUACAAUGAGAUAAUUGAUUUUUAGUGGCAAGAGAUCAGAUCUGUCGAGCUGUGAAACAGGGGAUACUUUAAUGAAUAAACUGUAUUAAUUUGCUAAGUCAAAAAUUCUGAAAAUUAUAUGGUAAGUGGGAAUAUGAGUCUAAUUUCAAGGAAAAUUUACGGAUUUAAAUUUAUAGUUCUGGAACUCGAGCUAUAAUUAAAUUAGUGACAGUCACGCAGGUGGACAGUUUUGUUGUGAAUAGUGAAUUUAAUUUUAAAAGCAAAUUUUUAUGCUCCGAAUUGGUAAGUUAAAUUGGAUGACAUCUCGUACUCGAUUCCGGCGACGGCCUCGGGUAAGGGGUGUUACACAAAGCUAGCUUGGAUACAAAUGAAGGAGGGAAGCCUCCCAUUUUAUAGGCAAGCCCUAUUCAAUCUAAUGGUUACAGUUAAUCUCAAUGGACAAUUAAUAUCUAAUUCUAGAACUUUCCCAUCUAACUCAAUAUUGAAGCAUUCUAAAAUUUUUAGAACAUUCUACACGGGUUUGGUCCUAGAGUUUUCCGGGACACUUUGAGAAAUUUGUGGCUCAAUACUCUCGUGUUUGCUCGAUUUCGGGCUUGAUGAGUUUUUGCUCACUUAUGAGGUGUAGAAGCCCAAAUUUGCUGGGCCCAUUGUCCAAAUAAAAUAAAAUACAACAAACCCAAAAUUCAAUCCCACCUACCCAAACCUUAAGCCCAAAAUAAUCAGCCCACAAACUUAAAAUUUCAGCAGCAAACCCUAGCUGGCCGCCGCAUGCCUUACGUGGCCUCCUCAGCCUUGGCCACCACGCCCCACGCGUCUGACACUCCCACCUGCUCCACCGUGCCCACCACCUGCAACAAGAACAAACACAACAGCAAAGAAAGCAUGCGAAUGAUGGGGGAAGUAAUAAACAAAAGUAACGAAAAAAAUAUAUUGGCUUUAAAAGCCGAAAUCUAUCAUUUGUAAUAGGGGGGAUUUUUAUGUUUUUUUUUGGAGAUUUCAAAGGGAAGAAUCGGUUGUAUUUUGGGGGGUUUCUCUUUUUUUUUCGGCAUUUUAAUACAAAAAGCAGAGAAAAAUACAAAAAAAGGGGAAACAAGGAACGAAAACAUAAAUCGGAAGGUAAUUUUGUUUUUUAUUUUUCUCUAUUAUCUUCUUAAAUCCAUUUUUUUUCUUUUCUUCCUCAUUUCUAGCAUAUAUAUACACAUAUAAUCGAAAAAUAAAAUAAAAAAAUUUUACCUUUUCCGGCCACCGUGUGCGGUGGCCGGCGCCGGCACCGGCGAGCCUCCGGUGGCCGUCCGGUGACCGGCCCCCUGGCCGGAUUCCCCUUCCCCCCUCCCUUCUCUCUCCCUUCUCUCUUCCCUCUCUCUUCUUUUUUUUUUCUUUCCCUCUCCCCAAAUGAUUUUUUUGGUUAGUUUAGGCCUUAUAUAGCCCUCCAAAACGACGUCGUUUUGGGGGCUACACUUAAGCCCCAAAACGACGUCGUUUUGGCCAUGCCCGACCCAUCCGACCCGACCCGCUAGAGGAUCC